UUGAUCCUGGCUCAGGACGAACGCUGGCGGCGUGCCUAAUACAUGCAAGUCGAACGCUUCUUUCCUCCCGAGUGCUUGCACUCAAUUGGAAAGAGGAGUGGCGGACGGGUGAGUAACACGUGGGUAACCUACCCAUCAGAGGGGGAUAACACUUGGAAACAGGUGCUAAUACCGCAUAACAGUUUAUGCCGCAUGGCAUAAGAGUGAAAGGCGCUUUCGGGUGUCGCUGAUGGAUGGACCCGCGGUGCAUUAGCUAGUUGGUGAGGUAACGGCUCACCAAGGCCACGAUGCAUAGCCGACCUGAGAGGGUGAUCGGCCACACUGGGACUGAGACACGGCCCAGACUCCUACGGGAGGCAGCAGUAGGGAAUCUUCGGCAAUGGACGAAAGUCUGACCGAGCAACGCCGCGUGAGUGAAGAAGGUUUUCGGAUCGUAAAACUCUGUUGUUAGAGAAGAACAAGGACGUUAGUAACUGAACGUCCCCUGACGGUAUCUAACCAGAAAGCCACGGCUAACUACGUGCC
rnacentral:rRNA from 1 species